rnacentral:rRNA from 1 species
CCCUUAGAUGUUCUGGGCUGCACGCGCGCUACACUGAAGCUAUCAACACGUUUUCCCUCCCUGAGAAGGGCGGGUAACCUUUUGAAUCAGCUUCGUGGUAGGGAUCGGGGCUUGCAAUUGUUCCCCGUGAACCAGGAAUUCCUAGUAGACGCGAGUCAUAAGCUCGCAUCGAUUAAGUCCCUGCCCUUUGUACACACCGCCCGUCGCUACUACCGAUAGAACGUUUUAGUGAGGCAUUUGGACCGACGCAUCUCAGUUUAACCGCUGGUUUGUGUUGGAAAGACUUCCAAACUUGAGCGUUUAGAGGAAGUAAAAGUCGUAACA